UACGAUUUCAGGACAAAAUGAUCAUUCCUUGGGGAUCAGGGAAAUGGAGAGUGCAGAGUGUAUUACAAGAGAGGUAAUGGUGUCUGUGUUGAUUGGAGAUUAUUCUGAUCUGGAGGUAGAGUUUUUAAGAAAGUUGUUAAGUUGAGGCUAAAAUACAUACUUAAAAAAAAUUGUCUUUUAAAGUCAGUUUUUUUAUGAUUGCACAUUGGCUUGAGCAGAUAUGUGAUAAGGUUCUUUCAACUUGGUGAAACCAUGUUAAAUAAUUUCUGCAGUGGGUUGAAAUGGUAAUAAAAAGUCAAAAUCGUACGUUUGCACUUUUAGUGCAAUUAUCACUUUUUACUGAACUUAUUUUGGCAGUGGAGUAGAUUAUAAGUAUAAAAUUGCAACCUAAUUCUAUUUUGUGCUUAGUGAAUGUAAAUAUAAUAUAAAUUAAAAUCCAUGUAUAAAUAAUCACAAGGGAUAAUUUAACAUUAAUUUUCGUCUGAAAUGUGAAAUUGAAUAAAUGUUGUUAAGUUUCUUUUUGAGAAGUGGCAGAAUGGGCUAAACUUAAUUAUACUGUAUUGUUUAAAAAA
rnacentral:lncRNA from 1 species